CCUAGCCGAAGUCCACCAACCCUUUUCUUAUUUAGGAAUUUCUAUACUUUCAAGCGUCACCCCUCGGUAAAGGACUGGUGAUACUUCUCCCCCCAGUUCGGUAGAAAGGGGUUGUUGAAAGGUGUCCCCUCUUCUAUCCACAACUGAAAGGAGAGGUUCUUCUACGUCCAAUGCCCAACCUUGGAGCUGGGAUUACCCCCCUGGGGCUCUCUGAGGGAUUCCGUCCGUAGGGCUUCUAGCCUGGAAAGGGACGACCUCGAAGCAUCCAGUAAGCUCGAGGCCUAUCCAGCCCC
rnacentral:lncRNA from 1 species